rnacentral:rRNA from 1 species
UACGUAGGGUGCGAGCGUUAAUCGGAAUUACUGGGCGUAAAGCGUGCGCAGGCGGUUCGUUGUGUCGGCGGUGAAAGCCCCGGGCUCAACCUGGGAAUGGCCGUUGAAACUGGCGAACUGGAGUGUGGCAGAGGGGGGUGGAAUUCCGCGUGUAGCAGUGAAAUUCGUAGAUAUUCGGAAGAACACCAGUGGCGAAGGCGGCUCACUGGACUGGUAUUGACGCUGAGGUGCGAAAGCGUGGGGAGCAAACAGG